UAAAGUGAACACUGGUAAUAAUACAACGAAACCAACCGCAGCAGAUCUUCAUUUAGUUAGUAGCAUGUAUUUCCUGAGUACUUGCAUGUGUGAGGCACUAAACCUCAUGCUGAGGGAUAUAAAAACAAAACAAAAAGCACGCCUGCUAUGAGACGCUUUCACUGGUAAAACUAACACAUAAGUAACUAUGAUACAAACGAAAAGAAACGUGUCAUAAGGACAUACAGAAAAGGCUGUAAAAUUCUGACAAUGAGAGGAAUCACUUCAGACAAGCUAGGGAAUGAUGUCAUAAAGGGCGUGGUAUUUCUGCUAAGAACUGAAGGCUCUGAUUGCACCAGCAAGGAGAAGGACUUAAAGUAAGAAAUAAGAAUGUGAGCAAAGUCAGGCGGCUUUAAGAUGUGACAGAAAAACAGCUCAUUUUGUCACGAGCACAUUAAAGGGAAUGAGAGUAGAUAACUAAAAGAAGGUUACGAACAUAGUACUGAAGAUUCUACACAGAUUUUACUUCGGGGCAAUGAAAAGCACCAGCCUUUUCAGUAGCUACCUCAAAUUUUAAGAUUUCUAUUAAAUAUGGAUGAAAGAAGAAAAGAAACGAACAAAGAAAAAGAAAAAAAGAAAAAAGAAAAUUCAGACCAAGUACUUCUUCAGUAUAAUCACCGAAAAGUAUAUAAUAGAGUUCAAAGCCUCUGAAGAACUAAAGCUAUAUGGAAAUCAUCUUAUAGGCUCUUUCCUGGAUAAUUGGAAAUAUUCUUUGUUCUAAACACAAUUCAUUUUCUUUGCACCAAUCAUCAGAGUACAAUACUUGUCAUGCUAUUAUUAAAUUCAGAAACACACAAA